rnacentral:rRNA from 1 species
ACUCCUACGGGAGGCAGCAGUGGGGAAUAUUGGACAAUGGGCGCAAGCCUGAUCCAGCAAUGCCGCGUGGGUGAAGAAGGUCUUCGGAUCGUAAAGCCCUUUCGACAGGGACGAUGAUGACGGUACCUGUAGAAGAAGCCCCGGCUAACUUCGUGCCAGCAGCCGCGGUAAU